rnacentral:lncRNA from 1 species
UUUGAAAUCGCCAAAGUGCGCGUUGCCACCCAAACCAUGGUCUUUGAAAUCGCCAAAAUGGGCGUUGCCACCCAAUGAUUUGAAAUCGCCAAAGUGGGCAUUGCCACCCAAGUCAUGGUCUUUGAAGUCGCCAAAGUGUGCAUUUCCACCCAAUGAUCCGUGGUCUUUGAAGUCACCAAAGUGCGCGUUUCCACCCAAUCCAGUGUCACCAAAGUGAGCAUUUCCGCCAAGCCCGUGAUCCUUAUGAAAGUCACCAAAGUGAGCGUUUCCACCCAGAGCUCCAUGAUCUUUGAAGUCACCAAAGUGUGCAUUGCCGCCAAGAUCUCUGGCUUCCAGCGAGCGUACACGGUCAUGGAAGUCACCAAAGUGAGCAUUCCCUCCGAGCUUGCUUGCUGCAAGGGCGGUCUUCUCUGCAGCAUCGCCAAAGUGGGCAUUGCCUCCAUGCCUUCCAUAAGGAUGACAAAAAAAUCCUGCACGGUGGCAAAGCUUUGCAUCGGCCGUGAAAACGCCUCUUCUCAUCUGCUCGCCGAAGCGAGCCGAUUCGAAUGCCCCCAGAGGCGAGGCUUCAUCGGCGAAACUCGUGGCGAUUAUGUCACUGCAUUCGGAAAGCUGCCCCAGCUUUAGUAACGAUUGAACGAUAGAAGUUGGAAAGAACUACUUACAAGGAGAGACGAGAAGAGAAGAGAUAGGCCGAGCGCAAGGCGAUCCAUGGUCUUGCGAUGGGGCUGGAAGCCAGAAUUUAUUGAUCGUAGUCUCACUGUGCAAGUAAAGAGACAGAUAUCUUUCAAGCCUCCGUGGCUUUAACUCUUUUGUCGGAGCGUGAAUUAUAGAGGAAGAAUUCAAUUUAGAAUUGCAUGUUGAAACUUUUGCUAAAACUCUUUAUAAAAUUAUUGCAUUGAUUAAUUGAUCGAUUUUGGAGAUAAGGACCCGCACCAACUUUCGGGCUGGACGAAUUCUGGCAGAAUUUUCAAGAUAAUUAUUUAAUCUAAUUAAUUUGUAUUAAGGUUGGGACUACUACUUCUGCAAUUGAUCCAUUACCAGCACUGGCUGAUAGUGCCAAGGUAAAAAUACAUUUUCUAGUUAUUGAAUGUUUUAAUAUUUUCCAAGAGACGGGAAUGUGGGAUGUGGUUCCAUGUUGAUGCAGCUUAUGCUUGUAAUGCAUUUGUCCAGAAUUUCGACAUUUUUUAAAUGGUGUUGAAAAUGCCCACUCUUUUAAUCUAAGUGCAAAUAAGUGGCUUCUUACCAAUAUUGACUGCUCCAUACUUUGGCUGAAGGUUUGAUCUUUUACAAACGUUACGAUCAAUUUUUAAUAUACUCUUACAGGACUCUAAGCAGCUAUCUUCGACACUUUCAACAUUAACAAACAAAGAGGUAUGAGUUUUUAAAUCUACUCUUUUUCAUAGUUCAAUUCAGUCUCGGGUGGUAAAUUUCAAAGAUUGGCAAGUUGCUCAAGGAAGACGAUUUAGGUAAGUGCGAAUAAUUCUUUUUCCUUUGACAUGGGAUACUCUUUUCAGAUCUUUAAAGCUGUGGUUUAUGAUGCGCUUGUAUGGAGCCUCGGGACUUCGUAGCCACAUAAGAACUCACAUAAACCAUGCUAAGCAUUUCGAGAUCCUUGUGCGAGAGGACUCUCGCUUUGAGGUAUAACUCGUGAGAGUUCUCUAAAAUUGUGAGACCAUGAUCUACGUUUGUGAGUUGCCAGAUCUUAGCACCAUGUCGAUUUGGUCUCGUUUGCUUCAGGCUCAAACCAAGUGUAAAACAGUAAGGGCCAACAGCGUCGAGCGCCGUCAGGUGGUCGAAGAUUGGAAUGGACACUCGGAGAGAUCUCUGUGAAGAUAACGGAGGGAAACUGAACUGUUUGCUUCUGGAAGCUGGGGGAAAGAUUUUCAUGACACAAGGAGCUCUCAAGCUAUAGUGAAAUGGGACUAUAACCUAUUUAUCCUCAGGUACUCUCGGGCGUGUAUACAUUGAAUGUCAAUUGGUGGCACGCAGACUAAACGUGAAAAUGUUGAUGGUGCGUGGAAGAUAAUCCAGGAGGAAGCACAAAACUUGUUAGAUCAAGAUUAAUAAGACCAGGUUAUAAUAUCAAGAAUAAUAAUUAAAUAAGAAAACCCUAGCUUUUAAAAUGGUGAAAAUUCUGGCCCAGUGGCUAUGUGUGAGAAAGGGGCGAGUCUCGGAAGAGUUCUAGAUGUGGUGACUAGGUAUGUUUUUCUCUUUUCCUUUGUAUCCGUUCCAGGUACUAGGCUCGCCAGGCAGCAGCAUUGCCCGAGCAAGAGGGCUGUAGAAAGAUCGAGGUUAUAUUUCUCAAGAUCGUCUCCCAGGAUCGCCAGGAGCUUUUCGGGAAGCAAUGCGGAGAGCCCAUCAUCAAGAAACCCAUUGAGAAGAGGGGAUUUUUGCUAGGAAACCAUUUGAAUUGGAGAACACACAUAACUGUGGUUUUUGCCGGCGCUAUUUUGCUCGCAACACCUGUGUUUGCGGCUGAUGCUCUCAAGACAUGUUCCUGUCUUCUAAAAGAGUGCUGGUAAUUUUAUUUUUCUCUUUUGUCCUUCAAGAAAGAUGAGUUUUUUUUUCUUCCCUAGAUUGGAGCUUGCUUGAUGCAUUGCAGAUCCUUCGUGUGCUGCCGAUGUUGCGUGCUUGCAAACUUGUAAUAAUUGACCUAACAAGACUGAGUGCCAAGUAAGUCUCUAGAUUUUGUGUAAAACUUCUUUUGGAUUGAUAGACCGUUGUGAUUCACAAAUACUUUCGGAUAAAAUGCAGAGACAUUUUCGAAAACAAGGUGGUGGAUAAAUUCAACAAUUGAGCAGUGAAAAUGCAAAGACAUUUUCAAGAACAAGGUGGUGGACAAAUUCAACGAUUGUGCGGUGAGCUGCAAGAGCUGCGUCCCGCAGAAGAAAGAUGAGGGGCAUUUCCCAGUCCCGCCACCCUCGGCACUUAUCUAGAGCUUUGACACCACGAAGUUUACCAGGAAAUGGUUCAUCUCCAAAUGUGUUUAAAAUAAUGAAGUUGUUUAAUAUUUAAAAUAUUUAUUUACAACUUAUCAAGAAUUUAAAAAAAUUAAUAUAAUUUCAACUAUUUUUUGUUGUUAACCCCAAAGCCAAUAAGUAUUAUUAUUAUUAUGACUAAGAUACAAUCAAGCAUAAACAGUGGCAAUGGGAACGAACAUAAUGACCGUUUCCACAAACCAGUGACAAACAUAAGUCUUGCCCAUCUUGUGGCACAGAACGUUUGGAGUGAGCUCCAUGCCACUGCUGGUCUUCACAUUUACUUUGGAAGCGCUGGUGCUACUCACCUUGUGACAGAAGUAAACUUUGUAUGGAAACAUAGUCGUGUGGCAGACGACCAUAAGAGUGUCGCCUUUCGUGAUGGGCUUGACCUCGCCAAGCUUGAUAGUUUUUCCAACCUCGGCCGCAAAAGCCUUGCUUCCUGUCACCAUGGUAAUCUCCACAGGGCCAAGGGUGGAGGUGACGAACUCGGCCAUUUCUUCCGUGGAAGCCACACACUUCAUCUUCCCCCCAGCAUUGUCAUUGCAGAGUUCCAGAGUGAAGGCCAUUUUUCUUGCCAGUGGAGACUCCUUUGGGACGUUAAACUCCUUCAAGUAUGAGUCAAGGCUCCGCUUACCGAAGUUUGUGUGCUUAGCCAUUGCGCUUGGCAGGAGUGCCCGUGGAGGAUAAGUGUCACGGAUGUUUGGGAGGACACUUUCAGUUCCUGUCAAGAUUUUCCACAAGUACGAGUAAGAAGAUAAGUUUGCAAAAGGAAUGUUUGGACUUACCGUUUCUUUGUCGGAGUUCUUCCAGUGUGAAGAAGUGGUGGAGCAUUCCAGGGGAGCACUUCGUUAUUAAGGCUUUGAUGGUUGGCCAGUCCAUAGAGUGCAGUGACUUCCUUCCUCCAUAACCCUCUUCCUCGUACUCAGUAAAAAUCUGGAUCAAAUACAGCGGCAUGUUCUUCUUGCAACUAGUGCUUGGUUUGACAGAAGCAUCGCCAAAGUGAGCAUUUCCUCCUAAUCCGUGGUCACCAAAGUGAGCAUUUCCACCUAGAGAAGCAUCACCAAAGUGAGGAUUUACGCCUAAACCAUGGUCUUUGAAGUCCCCAAAGUGAGCAUUGCCACCUAAACCUUUGAAGUCUCCAUUGCCAUGGUCCUUAAAGUCGCCAAAGUGAGCAUUGCCACCCAAACUUUUGUCUUUGAAGUCACCAAAGUGAGCAUUACCACCCAAACCAUGAUCUUUGAAAUCGCCGAAGUGCGCGUUGCCACCCAAACCAUGGUCUUUGAAGUCGCCAAAGUGGGCGUUACCACCCAAUGAUCCAUGGUAACCAUUUCCACCCAAACUUUGGUCUUUGAAGUCACCAAAGUGAGCAUUACCACCGAAACCAUGAUCUUUGAAAUCGCCAAAGUGCGCGUUGCCACCCAAACCAUGGUCUUUGAAAUCGCCAAAAUGGGCGUUGCCACCCAAUGAUUUGAAAUCGCCAAAGUGGGCAUUGCCACCCAAGUCAUGGUCUUUGAAGUCGCCAAAGUGUGCAUUUCCACCCAAUGAUCCGUGGUCUUUGAAGUCACCAAAGUGCGCGUUUCCACCCAAUCCAGUGUCACCAAAGUGAGCAUUUCCGCCAAGCCCGUGAUCCUUAUGAAAGUCACCAAAGUGAGCGUUUCCACCCAGAGCUCCAUGAUCUUUGAGGUCACCAAAGUGUGCAUUGCCGCCAAGAUCUCUGGCUUCCAGCGAGCGUACACGGUCAUGGAAGUCACCAAAGUGAGCAUUCCCUCCGAGCUUGCUUGCUGCAAGGGCGGUCUUCUCUGCAGCAUCGCCAAAGUGGGCAUUGCCUCCAUGCCUUCCAUAAGGAUGACAAAAAAAUCCUGCACGGUGGCAAAGCUUUGCAUCGGCCGUGAAAACGCCUCUUCUCAUCUGCUCGCCGAAGCGAGCCGAUUCGAAUGCCCCCAGAGGCGAGGCUUCAUCGGCGAAACUCGUGGAGAUUAUGUCACUGCAUUCGGAAAGCUGCCAAACAGGAAUCCCCAGCUUUAGUAACGAUUGAACGAUAGAAGUUG